GACGAACGCUGGCGGCGUGCUUAACACAUGCAAGUCGAACGGAGUGGCGAACGGGUGAGUAACACGUGGGUGAUCUGCCUUGCACUUCGGGAUAAGCUUGGGAAACUGGGUCUAAUACCGGAUAGUGCAAGAUGAGCUCGCGGCCUAUCAGCUUGUUGGUGGGGUAAUGGCAUACCAAGGCGUCGACGGGUAGCCGGCCCGGGAGAGGGUACGGCCACAUUGGGACUGAGAGACGGACCAGACGCCUACGGGGGGCAGCAGGGGCGAAUAGUGCACAAUUGGCGGAAGGCUGCUGCAGGGGCGCCGCGUGGGGGAUGAAUGUCAUCGGGUUGUAAACUCGUUUAGGCAGGGACGCGGUACCUGGAGAAGAAGCACCGGCUAACUACGUGCCAGCAGCCGCGGUAAUUC
rnacentral:rRNA from 1 species